rnacentral:rRNA from 1 species
UCGAGGGAGAUUGUUGGAUUCGUCUGACAUGAAACCGGCGCACGGGCUGCGUAACACGUAUGCAACCUACCUUUAACUGGGGUAUAGCUCAGAGAAAUCUGAAUUAAUCCCCCAUAAGACUACGACAUGGCAUCAUGAUGUAGUUAAAGCUCCGGCGGUUAAGGAUGGGCAUGCGGUACAUUAGCUAGUUGGUGAGGUAAUGGCUCACCAAGGCUACGAUGUAUAGGGGGUCUGAGAGGAUGAUCCCCCACACUGGUACUGAGACACGGACCAGACUCCUACGGGAGGCAGCAGUAGGGAAUAUUGGUCAAUGGACGCAAGUCUGAACCAGCCAUGCCGCGUGAAGGAUGAAGGCCCUCUGGGUCGUAAACUUCUUUUAUUAGGGAAGAAAACAUGGGAUGCGUCCCAAACUACGGUACUUAAUGAAUAAGGAUCGGCUAACUUCGUGCCAGCAGCCGCGGUAAGACGAAGGAUCCAAGCGUUGUCCGGAUUUACUGGGUUUAAAGGGUGCGUAGGCGGAAAAUUAAGUCAGUGGUGAAAGCCCGCAGCUCAACUGUGGAACUGCCAUUGAAACUGAUUUUCUUGAAUAUAGCUGAGGCAGAUGGAAUAUAACAUGUAGCGGUGAAAUGCUUAGAUAUGUUAUAGAACA